GGUGGAAUAGUGUAGUGGUUAAUGGUGUCAUUCGGUUAAUUUGCAGCCAACGUGGGUUCGAUUUCCGCGUCUAUCA